rnacentral:rRNA from 1 species
UACGUAGGGGGCCAGCGUUGCUCGGAAUUACUGGGCGUAAAGGGUUCGUAGGUGGUGCGGCAAGUUGGAAGUGAAAUCUCUGGGCUUAACCCAGAGGCUGCUUUCAAAACUGCCGUGCUCGAGUGCGAGAGAGGUCAGUGGAAUUGCAGGUGUAGCGGUGAAAUGCGUAGAUAUCUGCAGGAACACCCGUGGCGAAGGCGGCUGACUGGAUCGCAACUGACGCUGAGACGCGAAAGCGUGGGGAGCGAACCGG